UACGGAGGGUGCAAGCGUUAUCCGGAUUUAUUGGGUUUAAAGGGUGCGUAGGCGGGGCAUUAAGUCAGUGGUGAAAUCCUAUAGCUCAACUAUAGAACUGCCAUUGAUACUGAUGCUCUUGAAUACACUUGAAGUAGGCGGAAUGAGUAGUGUAGCGGUGAAAUGCUUAGAUAUUACUCAGAACACCAAUUGCGAAGGCAGCUUACUAAAUUGUUAUUGACGCUGAGGCACGAAAGCGUGGGGAUCAAACAGG
rnacentral:rRNA from 1 species